UUCUGCGUUUCUGACCGGGUCAGAGGCCCCAGCACUGGGCUUGCAAGCACUUUGGAUUAUUAUUUUUAUCUUUAACCCUAGCACUUACUUUCAUUUCUUAGGUGAUACUCAGUUCCUCCUGCGAAGGUGUAAUUCUGUUCACACCUUCCGUGUUUCCACUUGCCAUAGCCCAGCCCGGCACAGCCCUUGAAAACUGGCCCUUCCAUCAUCCAUCAAUCCAAUUUGGAGAGCACCGUCUCACCUCUCGGGGAAUCACAACCCUUCUAGUUCAUCAAAGACGGAGAAGUCAGCAACACCGAGGACACAGACCCAAGUCCCGGGUUUAUUUGGCCAUAGGAACGCUUUUUUCAUGACAUCUGCCAACAUCCCCCAGGAAAAGGAUUUGGGAAAUACUCAUCCAGAGACAUCCUAAGGCAUGGAGUUCAACACUAAGCCUUCACUUUUUGUAGUCUUAGGCUAAGAAUUGACGGGCCAAUCUUAUUUUUAAAAAAUUCUUCUAUCUAUCUAGCACUCUUUUUGCCUAUUACAAGGAAACUGGACUUUGAAUUUUUCCAGGUGCUAUUUGGGGCAGAGUCAACAAAUAACAAAUUCCUUUCUCUCUUUGGAGCACAAUCCUAAAACAUUACUCUUGAAUCGGUCUCCACAGACACUGCCAAUUGAAUUUGCUGUUUUACCAGUUGUUUGGGAUUUCCGUCCCCCCCUACGUGGUUCAUCUAUAUAAUCAGCUACUAUUGAAGGCUGGUAAUAAGAUCCCGUGGCCGCCCGGCUGCCUGCCUGGGCCACAGGCUUCUGCUAAGGCAUGAAGAGAGGGCAGACCUGGCCCCCGGCUGUGGCUGCCCUUGACUGUUGCCCCUGCCCCCCUCUCCCUCCCAGGCCCAGGCUGGCUGGGAGCCGCUGAACACUUUGGGCUUUAGCCUUCUCGUGAGCAUGGACUGUGUCUCAGCCACGGAUGAGACCCGUGAGAAUAUUAGCAUGUCGGGGCUGGGAAUCGUCCUCAGGAAUCACCCAGCAAGCUCGGGCCUCAUUUUCAGGUAAGGAUAAGCUUAUUCAAAUGGUGACAUAAUGUAGUAGAUGCCGUUGGUACCACCCAGGUCACGCAGGGUGGGUGCCCCUGACCAGGUUUCUUGAGUGGUGGCUGUUUACCUGCCUGAGGCUGCAGAGACUGCUCUGGCCAACAGGUACCCCUCUUUGUCUGGGAGGCUAUUUCCCGAUGAUCCUCCCUCUGCCCCCCAAGCUCACAGCCUGUAGCCACUGGCUGGCUGAUAUGGGGGUAUGAGAGGCCAGCCCCCUUGUUCCAAGGUGAAGCCAACUGUGGCACAGAUGAUGUUCCCUGUGGGCUGGGCCUGAUGUCUGCAGUGAGGUGCCACAUUAGCCUUCUUCCUCUGUUCUGCCUCCCUCCAUUUCCCUGAUACCAGCCCCACAGAAAACCACUUAUACAAGAAUCCUUGUCUUGGGCUCUGUGUCUAGGGAAUCUGACUUGAGACAGAACAGUUGCUGGCUAAGUUAAUAAAGUCUCACAAUUUUUGUUUUGAAGAAUAAA
rnacentral:lncRNA from 1 species